GAACGAACGCUGGCGGCAUGCCUAACACAUGCAAGUCGAACGAUCCCUUCGGGGAUAGUGGCGCACGGGUGCGUAACGCGUGGGAACCUGCCCUUAGGUUCGGAAUAACUCAGAGAAAUUUGAGCUAAUACCGGAUAAUGUCUUCGGACCAAAGAUUUAUCGCCUUUGGAUGGGCCCGCGUUGGAUUAGCUAGUUGGUGGGGUAAAGGCCUACCAAGGCGACGAUCCAUAGCUGGUCUGAGAGGAUGAUCAGCCACACUGGGACUGAGACACGGCCCAGACUCCUACGGGAGGCAGCAGUGGGGAAUAUUGGACAAUGGGCGAAAGCCUGAUCCAGCAAUGCCGCGUGAGUGAUGAAGGCCUUAGGGUUGUAAAGCUCUUUUACCCGGGAUGAUAAUGACAGUACCGGGAGAAUAAGCCCCGGCUAACUCCGUG
rnacentral:rRNA from 1 species